rnacentral:lncRNA from 1 species
AAAUUUCUUGACUUUCCUUUCUUCCUUUUUAAGAAAAUUUAUCAUUAAUGCCGGAAUUAAUGGUGUUAAAUUAAAUAAUUUAUCAUUGAAGUUUGUGAAAUAAAUUUUUUACCUUUUUUUUAAAGAAAAUGAUUUAUCAUUGAUGCCACCAACAUCACCGCACCACUAUCAUUAAUGGUGAAAAUUAAUUCAACUCUCGAUGCAUCCAUUAUUGAUGUUAAAUCAAAGAAAAAAUGAAGUUCUGCUUCUUUGAAAGGAAAAGUUGGUCCUCCAAAACACGAAGUUGUUGAAAAAUCAAAAGCGACAUACUCUAAAAGGUAUUAUAUAUAUGUAUCAGAUUAAAAAAUUCAUUAGAUACAUAGUUUUUACUGUUGAGAUACAUAAAUGUUAUCAUUUUCAUGCAUGAGAUAUAAUUUUAAUUAUGUAUCUCUCUUCGGUCUAAUUACUGUGUCAUAUAUGACGAUUAAAUAAAUUAAAAAUUGAAUGUAUCUCAGUAAUAAACUUUGAUGUGAAGAUACAUAAUUAACAUUAAUUUCAUGAAGGAGACAUAAUAUUGAACAAAAUUAUGUAUUUCCACCUAAUAAAUUUUAAAAUGAAUAUAUCUCAACCAAUAUGAAUACUAACCAAGCCGAUUACUAACUAUUUUAUUUUUUAUGUAUCUCAAUGUAGGAUAUAUAUUACAUUGUCAAAGAAGUUCCACCAUAUCCAUUAAGGUUUGACAGUUCUUGCAACACUAAAAUUGAAGAAGAUUUUAAACAAAUUCUAAAGGAUGAGGGGAUGGAGUUGUUCGGUCAUACGAAAGCGUGAUAUAUUUUUUUGAAUUUUAAAGAGAGGAGAAAAAUAUUUCAACAAGAUGAAUGAGAAUUUUUUUUUAAAUAUCAAUAUUAUAACUAAUUAUGAUUUCUAAAAAUUUUGAUAGUAAUUUUGAAGCUAUGAAGCGUAAUUUUCUCCUCAAUUUUUAUUUUUUUUAACAUGUCAUAGCUUUUUAGUUGGAUGCCUUAGAUAAGAUGAAUUUCUUGUUAAUAGGUGUAACAAAAAAUAAAAACUCGAGAUUUUAUGAAAUUUUAUUAAAUAUUGGGAUAUGGUGUAAUUAGAGAUAAACAUGUAGGGAUUUAUGUAAAAAAUCAUAUUGUAAUGGUAAUGAAUGUAAUGAUGAAAUAGUGUUUAGCUAUUCUAAAUAUAACACUAAUGAAUUAAAAAAAAUUUAUUAUAAUAAAAAAUUAAAUCAUAUAAUUCGCAAGAUUACAAGGAGAUUGCUAGGGUUGAAGAACAUAUCAGACGCAAGAUAAUUUUACAAAUUUUGUGCUUUCUCUAAAAAGAUAGAGCUUUUUGUGGUGAAAGUGAUAGAAAGAGAUUUAUAUAUAUAUAUAUAUAUAUAUAUAUAUAUAUAUAUAUAUAUAUGGAUGGUACUGAAGGCUAUUCCUUUCACUUAUUGAUUUUUAAGGAUGACAUCCACUCCUAAAGUGAGUGUCCAAACACUAAUAGAUCAUAUUGAUCCCUAACAAUAUAAUUGACUACACAACCAUAACACAUUAUUUCAAGAAAAUACUUCAAAGUAACUCAAAAUAUAAGAUCAAGAUUAUGAGGACUCACUUACAUAGGAUGUUUGAAGUAAAUGUAAGUGAAGAAAAAUUCAAGAGAGUAAAAAGAGAGAUUCUUAAAUAUCUUGAAGAUAGUUUUACGGUCAUUUACAACGCAUUGAAAGUUGUACAACCAAAAUAAGAAGUUGCAAUUCAAAAUCGGAUAUUGUGAUUCAAUUGUGUAAGAAGGCACCAGAAUAUGAUAAGAGAAAUUUUGUAAGGAUGUAUAUCUACUUCAAGGCAUUGAAAAUGAACUUAAAGACAAGUUUAACGUCACUUAUUGAGUUAGAUGGUACAAUUCUUACAAAAAAAGCUGAGGAACAAUUAUUAAUUGUUGUUGGUCAAUUAUUUCUAUCCUAUAGUAUGAGAUGUGGUAGACAAAGAAAUCAAAAGGACUUGGACUUGAUUCAUGCAACAUCUUCAGCAUUCACUUGAACUUUAAAGUGGUGAAAGAAUAACAUUCAUAUCAGACAUGUUAAAAGUAACAUUAUCUGUUGAUACUAUUGAUUUAUUUAAUUUGAAUGUUGAUUGUGAUAUUACAUGAUAUGUAUUUACUUUUAUAUGAUGUUUAAGAGUUGAAUGAUGCAGUAAGAAAUAUUUUGCCUGAAGCAUAUCAUAGAUAUUGUGUAAGGUAUAUUGAAGCAAAUUUGUGUCGAAAAUAAUGUAAGGUGAGUUGAAAAAGUUUUUAUGGCAGUCUAUAUAAUCCUCUUUUUCAAAGAAUUUUGAAGUCAAGAUUAAAGAGAUCAAAUAGGUAAAAGAAAAAGCUGGACAAAAUUUACUAGAUAGGUAUCCUCCCAAAAUAUGGUGUAGGGCUUAUUUUGGUAUAGUGUACAAAAAUUAGAUAGUGAACAAUGAUUUUAUAGAGUCCUUUAAUGGAUGGAUAUUUAAAGCAAGAUACAGUCUGUUAUUGAAAUAUUGGAAGAAAUUAGGAUCAAGGUAAUAAAAAAAUCGACAGAAAAAAAUUUAUGACAAAGUGAAAAGAUAAUCAGUUUAGACUCAAAAAUAAAGUAUUAUAUAACGAGAUUUUAAAGAUAUAUUAAGUUUGUAGGGUGAAUAGCAAUGGGAACAAUGGUUAUGAGACCACAAAAGGCGAAGAUAAACAUAUUGUCAAUCUAAAGGAGAAGAUAUGCACUUAUAGAAUAUGGGAUCUCACUACAAUUUCUUGUCCACAUGCAAUUCAAGUCAUGGAACACAAGAAAAUAAAGCCUAAGACUAAAACUGAUAUGCAUUAUAGCAAGAAGGCAGCAUUGCAAGUUUGCAAAUACAAGUUGAUAUGUGAGCCUAUGCUAACACAUUUAAGACUUUUAACUCUAAAUAAUUGUAAGGUCUUGAGCAAAUUUAGUUAUUUUUGAUUAGUUUACUUUGAUUUUUGCAGUAAAUGUUGAGAUUUAGGAGAACCAAAAAUAAUGAAAGCAAAAAAGGCUGAAAAGUGAAGCAAAAUAAAG